rnacentral:rRNA from 1 species
GACGUAGGGCGCGAGCGUUGUCCGGAUUUACUGGGCGUAAAGGGCGCGUAGGCGGCAAUUCAAGUCAGUUGUGAAAUCUCCGAGCUUAACUCGGAACGGUCAACUGAUACUGUUUUGCUAGAGUACAGAAGGGGCAAUCGGAAUUCUUGGUGUAGUGGUGAAAUGCGCAGAUAUCAGGAGGAACACCGGUGGCGAAGGCGGGUCUCUGGGCCGAUACUGACGCUGAGGAGCGAAAGCAUGGGUAGCGAACAGG